GAUGAACGCUGGCGGCGUUCCUAAUACAUGCAAGUCGAGCGAACGGACGCGAAGCUUGCUUCUCUGAUGUUAGCGGCGGACGGGUGAGUCACACGUGGAUAACCUACCUAUAAGACUGGGAUAACUUCGGGAAACCGGAUCUAAUACCGGAUAAUAUUUUGAACCGCAUGGUUCAAAAGUGAAAGACGGUCUUGCUGUCACUUAUAGAUGGAUCCGCGCUGCAUUAGCUAGUUGGUAAGGUAACGGCUUACCAAGGCAACGAUGCAUAGCCGACCUGAGAGGGUGAUCGGCCACACUGGAACUGAGCCACGGUCCAGACUCCUACGGGAGGCAGCAGUAGGGAAUCUUCCGCAAUGGGCGAAAGCAUGACGGAGCAACGCCGCGUGAGUGAUGAAGGUCUUCGGAUCGUAAAACUCUGUUAUUAGGGAAGAACAUAUGUGUAAGUAACUGUGCACAUCUUGACGGUACCUAAUCAGAAAGCCACGGCUAACUACGUG
rnacentral:rRNA from 1 species